rnacentral:lncRNA from 1 species
UGUUGCUCAAGUCAUCAGCAAAUUCGUCCCAGUGGAGCUGGUGGCUAAGGAAUCGGAUACUAGGCUCGAUACCCAGUGCCUCCAUACAAUGCUGAUCAGGGUAACGUAUGGGUUCCAUAGGGCGCUGGUAUAAAGCAAUGUAGCGCUCCCUCUGAGCAUUGUCUCUAUAGGCGACAUGCAUGUCAUCAAAACCCUGCAUCCUGUAAAAGUUAGGAAAGUGAUCCUGAAAAUACAAACCAUUCAAACUUUAGUCUCAAUGCAAAA